GCUGCUUUGGCCAAUGACCCUGGAAAUCUUCCUGGCAACAGAACUGCCCUGUGAUUGGGGGGUAACGGAACACCCAUAGGCCUGAAAAAAAAUAUGUGAAUUCCGUUUCCGUGUGAAAGUGAGCGACCGCUACAGACAGAGGACACUGAGGUCGGUUUGAUCUGGUCGAGCGAAUGGUUCUCCUAUCAGCCUGCAAUACGGAAAGUCCUGAUUCUACACCAAGAUUCUUCAUGGCGGAAGCAUUCGGGGGCCCUUUCCCACUCUAUUCCCAUGCCCCUUUUUGUUAAGAACAGCAUCUAAAGCUUGCGAGUUGGGUGGGGAGAGAAAGACCCAACACGUUCCCAUUUCCACCCAUUUGGGCUACGUUUGAUUCAACUCGGCUUAAGAACUGGAGUCCAUGCUCCCCCCACCCCACCCCGGCUUAAUAUCUCUUCUUCCUUGCCACCCCAAAGGCUUCUCUUUGCUUUCAUGAAGAGCCAACUGAAAGCCGUAUCAGCAGAAUCUCAGCUGCCACUGCGGCUUCCA